rnacentral:rRNA from 1 species
CCUACGGGGGGCAGCAGUGGGGGAUAUUGCACAAUGGGGGAAACCCUGAUGCAGCGACGCCGCGUGGGUGAAGAAGCGCCUCGGCGCGUAAAGCCCUGUCAGCAGGGAAGAAAAUGACGGUACCUGAAGAAGAAGCCCCGGCUAACUACGUGCCAGCAGCCGCGGUAAUACGUAGGGGGCAAGCGUUAUCCGGAUUUACUGGGUGGAAAGGGGGCGCAGACGGCGAUGCAAGCCAGGAGUGAAAGCCCGGGGCCCAACCCCGGGACUGCUCUUGGAACUGCGUGGCUAGAGUGCAGGAGGGGCAGGCGGAAUUCCUGGUGUAGCGGUGAAAUGCGUAGAUAUCAGGAGGAACACCAGUGGCGAAGGCGGCUUACUGGACAGUAACUGACGUUGAGGCUCGAAAGCGUGGGGAGCAAACAGGAUUAGAUACCCCAGUAGUC